GCGUUGUCCGGAAUCACUGGGCGUAAAGGGCGCGUAGGUGGCAUGAUAAGGGUGUGGUGAAAGCCCGGGGCUCAACCCCGGGUCGGCCAUGCCGACUGUCACGCUAGAGUACUGUAGGGGCAGGCGGAAUUCCGGGUGUAGCGGUGGAAUGCGUAGAGAUCCGGAGGAAGACCGGUGGCGAAGGCGGCCUGCUGGGCAGUUACUGACACUGAUGCGCGACAGCGUG
rnacentral:rRNA from 1 species